rnacentral:rRNA from 1 species
AUACGAAAGGUGCAAGCGUUGUUCGGAUUUACUGGGCGUAAAGAGAGUGUAGGUGGUUUAUUAAGUCGGAUGUGAAAUCCCGGGGCUCAACCUCGGAACUGCAUUCGAUACUGAUAGGCUAGAGUUUGGGAGGGGUAAGCGGAAUUCCGUGUGUAGCAGUGAAAUGCGUAGAUAUACGGAGGAACACCUGAGGCGAAGGCGGCUUACUGGACCAAUCCUGACACUGAGGUGCGAAAGCGUGGGUAGCAAACAGGAUUAGAUACCCUUGUAGUCC